GUCCUGGCGAAGGGAUUUCUCAGAAAAUAUCACAAAUAUCACUCAGUUAUUGAUUUCUCCCUCCUCUUCUGGUAUCUUUACUUAUUUUAGAAAUCAAAUAUUCGUGGAUCUGAUGUUGGUUUCCUUGAGCUGCCUGGAAGCUUUCAGACCAUGUGGCUGCCAGAAAUGGAACAUCAAUUACAUCAAACGGUCACACGAUGGGACACGUCGGAGUCUGACGCUGCAGCUCCCUAAAAUGAGAUUUUCACACUUCCUACCUCAGUAACCGAGUUCCUUCCCAAGGUCACCUCUCAGGAAUCCCUGUGCUAACAGGAGAGGCAGGAGAGGAUUUUUCCUGGAGCUGCAGUGCACAGGGGUUGCAGGGAGUGCAUAAACACCCAGGUUCCCUAAAUAUCCUGAGUGACCCCAGGGUGUCCCCAGAGUUCAGCUGCCAGGAACAGCUGAGCAUGGAACAGCAAACAUUCCCUCAUCCU